GGUGCGAGCGUUGCCCGGAUUUAUUGGGCGUAAAGGGCGCGUAGGCGGCUCUGCACGUCCGUUGUGAAAUCGCCCGGCUCAACUGGGCGGGGUCAGCGGAUACGGCGGAGCUUGAGCAAGCUAGGGGGCAAUGGAAUUCCCGGUGUAGUGGUGGAAUGCGUAGAUAUCGGGAGGAACACCAGUGGCGAAGGCGGUUGCCGGGGGCUUUGCUGACGCUGAUGCGCGAAAGCGUGGGGAGCGAUCCGG
rnacentral:rRNA from 1 species